rnacentral:lncRNA from 1 species
GUUGAUUAUCUCCUUCUUUGGCCAUAAUCUUCUCUUUAGGUGGUCCUUUUGCAAUGGAAGGUUAUCACCCUUACAUAAAAGGAAAAGAAGUGAACAAUGGGGAAGAGAUCACCAUCAUUGGUAAUUCCACGAGUAUCCACAGAUGACACUGUAAUUCAACAAAUAAACUGGCAGAUUUUGACUACUGGGGAAAUGCAUCUUUCUAUUCCAGAAUGUCUUAUCAAGCAGCAAGAAUUUGGCCAGGAUUAGAAGACAG